rnacentral:tRNA from 1 species
GCCGGGGUAGCUCAGUCUGGAAGACAAAGUCCAACAGCGCCCGGCUGUUAACCGGGCGGUCGUGGGUUCGAAUCCCACCCCCGGCG